UACGAAGGGGGCUAGCGUUGUUCGGAAUUACUGGGCGUAAAGCGUAUGCAGGCGGACUUUUAAGUCGGGGGUGAAAUCCCGAGGCUCAACCUCGGAACUGCCUUCGAUACUGGAAGUCUUGAGUCCGGGAGAGGUGAGUGGAACUCCGAGUGUAGAGGUGAAAUUCGUAGAUAUUCGGAAGAACACCAGUGGCGAAGGCGGCUCACUGGCCCGGUACUGACGCUGAGAUGCGAAAGCGUGGGGAGCGAACAGG
rnacentral:rRNA from 1 species